CAGAAUGCGUUCUCCCGACCGUGAGAGUCAGAACGGACAGGCCAGGCUGGCUGUCAUCGGCAGUAAGGCAGUCGGAAAAACAGCUCUCACCGUGCGAUACUUGACCAAGAGAUUCAUCGGAGAAUACCAGUCUGACACAGGCAGAAUUAGUCCACUGAGGACCAAGUGAUUGCAUGUUUGAGUCAUCUUUGAGCGACCUUCUCCUUCUCAUCCUCUCCUG